AUAGGGAGAACACCGAGAAGAGUGUGUUCAGGGAUAGAGGACGGCCGAGGAAUCAUCUAGCUUACUGAAGCAAAGGGAUGAUUCCUUGAAAAGUGCAACGGCAGUGCCUUAUGUUCAAGUAUUCCUAGCUACAUCGCUUCAGUUGGUCCAUAUGUUCACUGAAUGGGGAUGUCUCUUCAGAUUAAGGCUGCUAAUGCUUCGCUCUGCUCGCUAUGGAUAUGUCGGCCGGCGCCAGCUUCUUCCUCCC